GCCAGACUCCUACGGGAGGCAGCAGUAGGGAAUCUUUCACAAUGGGCGAAAGCCUGAUGGAGCAACGCCGCGUGCAGGAUGAAGGCCUUCGGGUUGUAAACUGCUUUUAUAAGCGAGAAAUAUGAUGGUAACUUAUGAAUAAGGAUCGGCUAACUACGUGCCAGCAGCCGCGGUCAUACGUAGGAUCCGAGCAUUAUCCGGAGUGACUGGGUGUAAAGAGUUGCGUAGGUGGCAUAGUAAGUAGCUAGUGAAAUCUGGUGGCUCAACCAUUCAGACUAUUAGCUAAACUGCUAAGCUCGAGACCGUUAGGGGUAACUGGGAUUUCUAGUGUAGGAGUGAAAUCCGUAGAUAUUAGAAGGAACACCAGUGGCGAAGGCGACUCUCUGGGCUGCAACUGACGCUGAGGCUCGAAAGCAUGGGUAGCGAACAGGAUUAGAUACCCUGGUAG
rnacentral:rRNA from 1 species